rnacentral:rRNA from 1 species
AUUGAACGCUGGCGGCAGGCCUAACACAUGCAAGUCGAACGAGUGGCGGACGGGUGAGUAAUGUCUGGGAAACUCCCUGAUGGCGGGGGAUAACUACUGGCAACGGUAGCAAAACCCGAUUACCAUCAGCUCUUCCCAGCUUGGAUUGGCCAGUUGGUGGGGUAACGGCUCACCAAGGCGACGAUCCCUAGCUGGUCUGAGAGGAUGACCGGCCACACUGGAACUGAGACACGGUCCAGACUCCUACGGGAGGAAGCAGUGGGGAAGAUUGCGCAAUGGGCGCAAGCCUGAUGCAGCCAUGCCGCGUGUAUGAGGAAGGCCUUCGGGUAGUAAAGUACUUUCAGCGGGGAGGCGUUACCCGCAGAGAAAGCACCGGCUAACUCCGUGCCAGCAGCCGCGGUAAUUC